rnacentral:rRNA from 1 species
CUACGGAGGGUGCAAGCGUUAAUCGGAAUUACUGGGCGUAAAGCGCGCGUAGGCGGCUUGGUAAGUCGGAUGUGAAAUCCCCGGGCUUAACCUGGGAAUUGCAUUCGAUACUGUCAGGCUAGAGUGUGGUAGAGGGAAGUGGAAUUUCCGGUGUAGCGGUGAAAUGCGUAGAUAUCGGAAGGAACACCAGUGGCGAAGGCGGCUUCCUGGACCAACACUGACGCUGAGGCGCGAAAGCGUGGGGAGCAAACAGGAUUAGAAACCUCAGUAGUCC